rnacentral:lncRNA from 1 species
GCUCAAUUAUCAGAGGUGUUAGUCAACUGUUAAAUCUGAGGAUUGAGCAGUCCAAAGGCCAGGGAUGGGCAGGCCCAUCUUCCCUUCCUGCUGCAAAGCCUCUGCUAAGGCUCAGGAGCUGCUCCUUCUCUGCCUGUGAUCUGUGACCUGGUGCUGGGAUUUGGACCUGUUGCCUCCAUCAGACAGGGAACAGUCUCUAAAGUUGGAGAGAAAUUCCCAAUGCAGUAAAGGGUACUAUGGCAGUACAUUCUGGCAACAGGCUGGAAAGGAGCUGCCACGGGAUGUCCACCCACCCUGAGUGGGAACCUCCUCCUGAGGGACACACAGGGGGAAAAAAGCACCUCCUCUGCCUGCUCCAGGUAGCGCUGAUGGUUCUCCGGUACCGCCGCCUUUAUCACGGGCCCUGCACAUUCCUCACCACCAGCACGCAGGGAAGUGGCAAAAUCCGGGCUUGGAGCUUGGUGGUCUCCUCCAACGCCUCUAUUUUCCAUUAAAUGCACACACGGGGGCCUGUGGAGACAUUUCUGAGGAGCCUCGUGUUUGUUAUAACCUCCCCCUGCUUAAGUAAAUAGGUGGGAAAUAGGGAACUUCCCACUGGAACAGCUUCCAUGUAUUAGUUCUGGGUGGUUUAGGAGUCCACCUUCCCCACAGCAGUGCUAUUUGAGGGAGGAGGUGUUAAAACACUCUGAGGUUCAUUAGCCCUCUCUGCUAAUUGCCUAAUUUCAGCAAAGAGGUGAACCCCUUGAAGGUGCUCAGACAAAUUCCCUUCCCCCAGCUCUCACUGCCCAGUGUGUCUCUUCCUGGGGGUGGGAAUGGUGGGUGCUGGGACAACCACUCCAUCUGCUUUUAAAAACUCGGUCUGGGAACACAGAGCCAUGGAAUAGUUUGAGUUGGAAGGGACUUCUUAAAGGUCAUCUCGUCCAACUCCCCUGCAGUGAGCAGCGAUGGCCAAAUUGGGGUAUUCUUACUUUACAUUCCUUGAGGGAGAGAAGAUCCUCUCCCCCUAAAUUGCCCAGGCAAUUUUAGGAAUUAUUACCCAUAGGAGUGCAUGACAUGUCCCUGCAGGUCACCAGGGUGGGCUCCAGGUCUUGAACAGGGUUUUCCACAGGUAUUUUCAGUCUCUGCUGUACAGGCAGACAGAUUGAGGUUGAUAAAUGCCUCCUUUCCAUAGGAGAGGUCGGGUUGGCCUUCUGAGUCCUUCUGGGAAGUUAAUUCAUGUUUAAGUAAAGAGAGAGGGGCUGUGCAAGGGAGAAAUUCCUACCUGACCUCCCCCCCCCCCAGUUCAGCUCAUACAGGAAUCACAGGUUUUAAUUAACCUUUUCUGAGAAUAGGACUUCAUAUGUAACUACAUAUGUAAUGAGAGGUUACAAGAUCUUUAAUGGAUGGAAGGACUUUACCUAUCAGUCCCUGAUGGAGUGGCACCAGAGGUAUUAUGGUGGGAUAAUUACUUUCCAUCCCCACGUGAGUGAUGUUAAGUUGCCCUGAUGGGAGGUGUUUCCAUGUGUGUGGGGGGGGGUGGAAUUAAUUUCCUUUAUGGUAAUAUUAACUUAAUGGGUGCUGAGAGAAAGUAAACAAGAUGCAACACAGCAGAGUUAUAGAGGAAAAAACCCCAAGAUUGCAUUUGAAAGUCAAUGGGCUUUGCUGUUUUCUGUAAGGACCUUGUCUUCUAUCUGGAGCUUUGUCUUCCCAAAUCAGGGAGGUCAGACCCCUGUGAAAGGCUUUGGGGUGGAUGGAGGGGAAGGAUUUGCCCCACCAGAUCCAUUGAGGCUGCAGCUGCUGCCUGAGGAGGGUCUGUCCCUGCAGGAACCAGCCCGGGGUGGGGGUCACUUGUUUUCUUGAUUUUAUUUUAUUUCAUUUUUUUAAGAUAGAUUUUCUUUUGUGUGCUUUUACACCAUAAAGAAUCCACGAAGACUUUCAAGAACUGCUUUACUUGGUCAGAGUUUAACCUCAUCAGGAGGUGAAGCUCAGGGGCUUUGGAUGGAACAUCCCAACAGCUGAUUUAUGGAAUCUUCAGCCCAAAAAUGGCUCCUGUGCUUUGUGUCCCUUUUGCCCCCAUUCCUGUUAACUCCCAGGACUCCUUCCUUUCUCUGAGCAGCCCCUGGUAAGUGCUGGAGGGACAAAACCAGCAGCUCCAGCUGCCGACACUGGACUGUAGCUCCACUGGCACUGGAAAAGCCAAAACAUGAAUGGAAUACGUUUGUUUUUUUUAAACAGAAGUUGAUAAAUUAUUAAUUGCAAGAGGAGAUCCCAACUAAGCCCCGGGGGAGACUCCAGGACAAGCUGAGAAGGGGGACCAGAGCCCAAGCCCAGCUGGAAAUGCAUUUUGGGAAUGUGCAGGUUAAAUUAGGUGCCUGGGCCACCAAAGUCAUGCUGGUACUUAUACAGAGUAUUCAGAACAUUAAAAAAUUGCACGAGUGUUAUUUAUGUCCUUAAACUUUCUGGAUUUGCUUUGGGUUUACUUUUUUAGUUUGUUUUUUUUUUUUCCUAAAUAAAGUUAAAAUCAAAUCAAAGCUUACCA